GUAACGCAUAGACAACCUGCCCCGGACACGGGGAUAACGGCUGGAAACGGUCGCUAAUACCCGAUGAGGCCACGGUCGCAUGUCCUGUGGUUAAAGUUGGGGAUCUUUCGGGACCUUUCGGUCCGGGAGGGGUCUAUGUCCUAUCAGCUUGUUGGUGGGGUAACGGCCUACCAAGGCGAUGACGGGCAGGAGGCUUGAGAGGGUGCCCUCCCACACUGGGACUGAGACACUGCCCAGACUCCUACGGGAGGCUUGCAGUCGAGAAUCAUUCACAAUGGGCGAAAGCCUGAUGAUGCGACGCCGCGGGGAGGAUGAAGGCCUUCGGGUUGUAAACUCCUGUCAGAGGUUAACAAAAGCCCCGUUCGCUAAUACCGGUCGGGUUUUGACGUAAGCCUCACAGGAAGCUCCGGCUAAAUCCGAGAGCAGCAGCCGAGGUAAGACC
rnacentral:rRNA from 1 species